rnacentral:rRNA from 1 species
UACGUAGGGUGCGAGCGUUAAUCGGAAUUACUGGGCGUAAAGCGUGCGCAGGCGGCGCGUUAAGACAGGUGUGAAAGCCCCGAGCUUAACUUGGGAAUUGCGCUUGUGACUGGCGAGCUGGAGUGUGGCAGAGGGAGGUGGAAUUCCACGUGUAGCAGUGAAAUGCGUAGAGAUGUGGAGGAACACCGAUGGCGAAGGCAGCCUCCUGGGCCAGCACUGACGCUCAUGCACGAAAAGCGUGGGGAGCAAACAGG